AUUGAACGCUGGCGGCAUGCUUUACACAUGCAAGUCGAACGGCAGCGCGGGCUUCGGCCUGGCGGCGAGUGGCGAACGGGUGAGUAAUACAUCGGAACGUGCCCAGUAGUGGGGGAUAGCUCGGCGAAAGCCGGAUUAAUACCGCAUACGACCUGAGGGUGAAAGCGGGGGAUCUUCGGACCUCGCGCUAUUGGAGCGGCCGAUGGCAGAUUAGCUAGUUGGUGGGGUAAAGGCCUACCAAGGCGACGAUCUGUAGCUGGUCUGAGAGGACGACCAGCCACACUGGGACUGAGACACGGCCCAGACUCCUACGGGAGGCAGCAGUGGGGAAUUUUGGACAAUGGGCGAAAGCCUGAUCCAGCAAUGCCGCGUGUGUGAUGAAGGCCUUCGGGUUGUAAAGCACUUUUGGCGGGAACGAAAAGGACUGUGCUAAUACCACGGCUCGAUGACGGUACCUGCAGAAUAAGCACCGGCUAACUACGUG
rnacentral:rRNA from 1 species